rnacentral:rRNA from 1 species
GAUGAACGCUGGCGGCGUGCCUAAUACAUGCAAGUCGAGCGAACAGACGAGGAGCUUGCUCCUCUGACGUUAGCGGCGGACGGGUGAGUAACACGUGGAUAACCUACCUAUAAGACUGGGAUAACUUCGGGAAACCGGAGCUAAUACCGGAUAAUAUAUUGAACCGCAUGGUUCAAUAGAGAAAGACGGUUUUGCUGUCACUUAUAGAUGGAUCCGCGCCGCAUUAGCUAGUUGGUAAGGUAACGGCUUACCAAGGCGACGAUGCGUAGCCGACCUGAGAGAGUGAUCGGCCACACUGGAACUGAGACACGGUCCAGACUCCUACGGGAGGCAGCGUUAGGGAAUCUUCCGCAAUGAGCGAAAGCCUGACGGAGCAACGCCGCGUGAGUGAUGAAGGUCUUCGGAUCGUAAAACUCUGUUAUUAGGGAGGAACAAAUGUGUAAGUAACUAUGCACGUCUUGACGGUACCUGAACAGAAAGCCACGGCUAACUACGUG